rnacentral:sRNA from 1 species
AAACUGUACGGUUCAUGGUCACUUUUUGUGUAUUUACAUAAAGAAAAAAUAUUAAAUUUUAUACUCAGAAUUAGGUAUGGGCACGAAGCGGAUAUCCGGAAAAAUUAUGAUAUUUGUUAUUCGAUUCGUUUUAAACGAAUACUUGAUUUUGUGAUUCGCUUUACUUCGAAAAUUUCCAGAUAUCCGGAAUUUCGAAUAUCCGGAAUUUUUUGUGAUAUUUGCGGAUAUCCGCUUUGAUACAUUUAAAUAUUAAAAAAAUAUGUAUACUAUAUAACUAUAUCAUAUAUUCAAAAAAUUUAUCCGUGCGUUCCUUAAUUGGUGUCUCCGUGUGCUUUUAAAAUAAGUUCUAAAUACCAAACAUAACCGUUGUUGGUAUCACCGGUCAACAAAAUAUUAUCAAACUAAUUCCAAAACUAAAACCCGAUAGUUUUUUGAUGCCAUUGAUCAAAACAUAACAUAAAA